AGUGAACGCUGGCGGCAGGCCUAACACAUGCAAGUCGAGCGGCAGCGCGGGGGCAACCCUGGCGGCGAGCGGCGGACGGGUGAGGAAUUCGUCGGAAUCUGCCUUUUUGUGGGGGAUAACGUAGGGAAACUUACGCUAAUACCGCAUACGUCCUACGGGAGAAAGUGGGGGACCGCAAGGCCUCACGCAGAAAGAUGAGCCGACGACCGAUUAGCUAGUUGGUGGGGUAAAGGCCCACCAAGGCGACGAUCGGUAGCUGGUCUGAGAGGAUGAUCAGCCACACUGGGGCUGAGACACGGCCCAGACUCCUACGGGAGGCAGCAGUGGGGAAUAUUGGACAAUGGGCGCAAGCCUGAUCCAGCCAGGCCGCGUGUGUGAAGAAGGCCUUCGGGUUGUAAAGCACUUUUGUCCGGAAAGAAAUCCCUGGAGCUAAUACCUUCGGGGGAUGACGGUACCGGAAGAAUAAGCACCGGCUAACUUCGU
rnacentral:rRNA from 1 species